UACGAAGGGUGCAAGCGUUGCUCGGAAUUAUUGGGCGUAAAGCGCACGUAGGCGGCAUUGCAAGUCGGAUGUGAAAUCUUAUGGCUUAACCAUAAAAGUGCAUCCGAAACUGCAGUGCUUGAGUACUUAAGAGGAUCGCGGAAUUCCCGGUGUAGAGGUGAAAUUCGUAGAUAUCGGGAGGAACACCAGUGGCGAAGGCGACUACCUGGCCUGUUCUUGACGCUGAGGCGCGAAAGCUAGGGGAGCAAACGGG
rnacentral:rRNA from 1 species